GGCUGGUCUGAAGGUAGUAAAUUAUCCCACUUGAUUGUUCACAGUUUGUUACGGAUUGAACUCCUUGUUCUACUACUUUCCCCCCUUCUCACUUCUGCACUUGACUAGUCAAAA
rnacentral:Y_RNA from 1 species